ACAUGCCUACAACAUAUCGUUAAUGCACUGGAUCCCAUUAGAACUCCGUAGUUAAGUGUGGUCAGGCUAGAGUAGUACUGGGAUGGGUGAUCGCCCAAGAAGUCCUAGUGUUUUACAUGCC
rnacentral:rRNA from 1 species